rnacentral:rRNA from 1 species
UACGGAGGGGGCGAGCGUUAUUCGGAAUUAUUGGGCGUAAAGGGCGCGUAGGCGGCUUGACAAGUCAAAGGUGAAAUCCCUCGGCUCAACUGAGGAACUGCCUUUGAAACUGUCUGGCUUGAGCAUGGUAGAGGCUGGCGGAAUUCCCGGUGUAGCGGUGGAAUGCGUAGAGAUCGGGAAGAACAUCGGUGGCGAAGGCGGCCAGCUGGGCCAUUGCUGACGCUGAGGCGCGACAGCGUGGGGAGCAAACAGG